GGGGGCGAUAUGGUUUCGACGGGGUGGUAGAAGGUCGAACUGCAUGGGGAGCAUCCUCUUUCAUCUCCUAAAACUGAAGGGGAACCCUAUAAGUGCCGAAGACAACUUCGCACUGGCUGCGUAAGUAGCCCGUCUCUCCUGCUGACACCCGCUAGGUGGGCAGAGGCGCCGAUUAGUGGGUUAGCGAGUUCGUGGCGCUCCCGCGCGACCUCGCGAAACAAACAGCGGAGCUGGCCAACGGCAAUUCCGUCCGCAGAAGUGCCGAAGGCGAGAACAAAGAGCGGACUAACCAUGUAGAUGUUCGGUUGGAAGCCAUUUCGGACGCGGGUUCGACUCCCGCCGCCUCCAUCA
rnacentral:tmRNA from 1 species